GAUGAAACCAGUAAUGGGCAUUGAGAGGGGCUUGCGGCCUAUCAGCUUGUUGGCGAGGUAACGGCUCACCAAGGCGACGACGGGUAGCUGGUCUGAGAGGAUGGCCAGCCACAUUGGGACUGAGAAACGGCCCAGACUCCUACGGGAGGCAGCAGUGGGGAAUCUUGCGCAAUGGCCUAACGGCUGACGCAGCGACGCCGCGUGAGGGAUGAAGCUCCUCGGAGUGUAAACCUCUGUUGCCCGGGACGAAUAGCGGAUUUUUCCGACUUGACGGUACCGGGUGAGGAAGCACCGGCUAACUCCGUGCCAGCAGCCGCGGUAAUACGGGGGGUGCGAGCGUUGUCCGGAAUCACUGGGCGUAAAGGGCGCGUAGGUGGCUUUGUAAGUUUGCGGUGAAAGCCCGGGGCUCAACCCCGGGUCUGCCGUGAAUACUGCAAGGCUUGAGUACUGUAGAGGCAGGUAGAAUAUCGGGUGUAGCGGUGGAAUGCGUAGAGAUCCGAUAGAAGACCGGUGGCGAAGGCGGCCUGCUGGGCAGUAACUGACACUGAGGCGCGACAGCGUGGGGAGCAAACAGGAUUAGAUACCCUGGUAGUCCACGCCGUAAACGAUGGGUACUAGGUGCUUCGGGGAGCGACCCCUGGAGUGCCGGCGCUAACGCAGGAAGUACCCCGCCUGGGGAGUACGGCCGCAAGGCUGAAACUCAAAGGAAUUGACGG
rnacentral:rRNA from 1 species